UGUAAAAUAGAUGAACCACUCCCAUUCACUUGCUUACUUCCCUAAAAAGAACUUUGGGGCAUGAACAGAAAUGUACAUUGUUUUUGCGAAGGUACAGAGUGGACUUAGCAGAGUUUGUACAAGUGCAGUUUUAGAUGUUACAUGAAAAUGUAGUAGAAAAUACAGCCCUCAUAUAUUCACAAAUGUCAGAUGUGCAUAGAUGAAACCCUAAUAUGCUUUUUGAAGAGUCACAGAUCAAGUUGCAGUGCCAGCAGUGGUCCUGCAGUCCUCUGCAGCUUACCAACAUGUAUGUAAUUGGGUGUCUGUCACCACUCUGUUUGUUUGCUGGUGCAGAUGCUAUCUAACUCAUAACCCUUACUUACGACAAGUAGCCAGCAUUGUUAGCAUGUAAAACGACUCUUAACAGCUUACCAGAAGCGUAGAAAUACAACUGUGUUUUUCCAACAUGCUGUAUCUGGGUACUCACUGUAUACACGAUUCAUCGGUCUGUUACAUUCUUAUUGCAUACUAAUCCGUAAUAGGAAGUGUUAUAAGUUUCCGACAUGUUUCUUUCAAUCGCGUGCAUGUCUGCUGCCAUAGUAUGCAUUCCAUUCCAUAAAUUUAGCACCAGAGGUCCAAAUUCUACAUAGGCAAACAAGUUAAGAAGUUGGAGUCAGAAAGAGUACAUUAGUAAUAACAGAAGAUUUCAUGAGACAAAUACUAGACAAAGAGUGAAGCAUGGAUGGUUUAGGGAUCUCAAAUUGAUUGAUUAUCAGUGAUGUGUCUUCAUCUAAGCCACACCCUAAUGAGCUCUUUCUAGACAGAGCUGCAGAGCAGAGCCUUUUUAAAUCACAAAUUAAUUAUUUCCUAAAAAUUGAAUGCCUGCUUGUUAUCUUGCAAAACUCCAAAUAUAGUAUUCCAUCCAAUUUACAAUAAAGCCCUUCUCAUUAUUCCAUCCAGAAUCUCAAUAUAAUACAUACAAAUAUAAAAUGCAAUAAUUUCAAAGAUUUGUUUUUUGGAAAAUUAACCUUGGCAAUUAAGACUUUUUGGUGUGGGAAAGUAUAAAUUUCAUUGCAGCCAGGCCAGAAA
rnacentral:lncRNA from 1 species